CCUUGAGGCUGGAACAAGGAAUAUCUCUGUGUUCACAUUGGCCACCUCCUAUUCCAUCUCAAGUAGAAAAUUGUGAGCCAUAUAAGAUACAUACCAAAGGAAAAAUCCAGUCAAGACAAAAUAGUUAAAGAUCUUUGCCUUCAAUCGGAGUAAGGACAGGUGAUGGAAGAAUGACCAGAACUGCUUAAACCAAAAGACUGAAGAGCAGACUUGCCCGCAUUUCAACGUUUGUUCCAUUCUUGGUCAUUCUGCUUCCACCUCUCAAGUGUUGAGAUGCUAUAUUUGUGCCAGUAUAUCUCACUUUCAUCUACUUGAACUAGGACUAGGCUGAAAUAUGUUUGGGCUUGAUCUGGAAAUUAAAGGUUCUCCAGUUUUGUUGUGUGGACGCCCGACUCACCAGCAAGGAAGACGCCACAACAGGAUUCUUCUGCACACGCUUAUUGGAAGAGCUUGAUAGCGAAGGUG
rnacentral:lncRNA from 1 species